CUUCUGCCGAGCAUGAGAGGCCCACAAGAAGGCCUUAAGAGAAGGGGAGGACUUAAGGGAUCAGCCCUGGCCUCUGGCCAAAAAGGAAGGUCCGGUCAGAAGAGACAAGCCCCUUCCCUGGAGCCCUCCAGAGAUGCGUUCUCCUCCUCUGCUGGCUCCUCUCCUAUCAGCCAAUGUACUAAGCAAGUUCCUUAUGAAGACACCUGCCUGAGGACUGUGUGAAUUACUCCUGCCUCUUAAAGGAACACUGCUUGAAUCAACAGACCCAUCCCAAUGUGAACAGCCUUUCGUGAUAAAACCGUUAAGAUGAAAAGAUGGAGCCCCAGUGAGGUGAAAGUACUCUGCACAAGAUCCUAGAGCUACUGCAACACGCCAGCCAGCCAGCUUCAUUCAUCAAUCACACAGAUGAGGACUGCGCCCUAGCGGAUGGGGGAGGAACAGCAUCCUCGGAGAACACAGCUGCCCCCAGCCUUGACCAGCUGGACUAUCACAGGACCAACACAGGUCUUCCCUCAUAUUGGAGCCAAUGCCUUCGUGGUCCCUUUACUGCAACAGGUACAUACCAAGGCUAUUUAUAAAAGCCAUCCCUAGGAAGGCAAGGCACUUACAACUCCCACUGCCCUAGCUGCAGAAAGCUACCCAAUGUCCAGUAGAUUUAAGUCCCAAAAUAGGCACUGGCCAUGUGUUCACUGUUCCCAAGCUUCCCCACUUGGGAAAAGGACGUCUGUGGACACUCAGUGUCCUGGAGAUGUCACUUGAUAUCUCAAUCUGUACCCAGAGCAAAGAUCUCUACUCACUUCAUAAACCCAAUUCUACCAGAAGCUAAAGGAUUUCUCAGUUUUUCUAUUCUCAUUCUCUGUUUCUCUACUUAGGUUUAAGAGAUAGGAGGAGGAGCUGGGGGGAUGGAGGGGAAUUGAGAUCCACUUAGAGGCUCCUUGAUGAUGGAAAUGAACUGAAACGUAUAACCUUUGGGAAAGAGAUCCAUGUUGGGCUCUGUUAGAGUGUGAAGUUGGCACGCUGUUACAGGUAUUCAUCAUAAUUGGCAGGGAGUGAGUCUUCAUUACCAACAUACACUCAGUAUGUUAUCUAAAGGCAGAGAAAAUGCAUCUGACAAUGAGAGGCUGGGAGCAGAGUCACCCCGAAUCACCUGAAUUACACGAUGGGCAUCUUGGUAGAUAUCUGAGCAGGGGAAAUUCUAUAAAUUUUAAUCAAUAAUUGAGCAUCAAUCAUGAUGCUCUGUGCUAGGACACUGUGCUAAGUUCUAAGGAUGGCAGACAGACAAAACAAAGAGUUCUUCCUGGAGUGGAACUCACAGACUGGCAGGGUGUCUGAUUACAGUACAACUAAUUCUAAUAUGACUUUCACGCAAUUCUAACCUACUGCGUAUGAGAAUUUCAAAUAUGAUGGACUCUGAGCGGGUGAGUCCCAGAGGGCUUCAGGGAAGACAGGACAUGUGAGCUUGAGCGCCAGAACUUACAGGAAGGAACUUGGGCAAGUCAAGAGUUAAGGGGGAGGAACAAGUGAGAUGGGGCUGAGAGGAGGGGUGUGCAUACAAGUCUAGGGUGUUCUCUAGUGGCCUGAGUGUCUUCUACCCGCAGAAACCUUACCUGGCCUGAGUGCAUCUGAAGCACAGACCAACAGAGCAGAGUGAUUCAGAACGAGGGCUUUGGAGCCGAACACUCUUCAGACUGAGUCCCCCUUCUGUCAGUCAAUAGGGGUCUGGAGGUUUAAAAGACAAUAAAACCCUAACGUGGUGUUGGCCCACAGGAGGUUCUCAUAACUGAAUGAUGUUGGCUUCUGAUUCCCAGCAACCCGAGGCUAACACUGCCCGGCUGGGGAAAGUGCUCCCGGCCACGGCCGGAGUGCAGAUGUGGGGGUUCACUGACCUUAGGCUCCGGCUGAGAGCCCUGGUCAAGUCAGACCUCAGGGGACCACGGAAAAGUUGAGGUGACAUG